ACCAGGGCCAGCUGGUUAGGAUCAAACCAGUCAAGAGUUUUAACUUCCCAAACCCAGGGAGAGAAAGUAUCCUGAAGCAAAGAAGGUCCUGUGAAGGUUGGAAGAAGUUUUGAAGACAUGAGAUCAUCACAAUACAUCCAGUGAUGUGAAUCCACCUGAUGGAACAUCUUUCUUGCCACAGAAUAACCGAAUUAUUCAUCAGCAAGAGUGUCUCCUAGCAGUAACCAGAAAUCUUUUUUUUAACUUUGAGGAAAGAUGAAUCAUGCCAAUUUCAUACUGAAAGAGAGGGAGCGACUAGUCCACUGACAUGAAGCCUUCACCGCAGUAGCCUGAGAGUCUGAGUCAGAGUAACUACUACUCCUCUCGUUCUGUCAUCUCAACUCCUCUACCCUUUCCUGAAAUGGACAAUAUGUGAGCUGGAAAUAGAUGACCGAAAACCGUACAGUAACUUGCAGAAGCACGCGACCGAGCUGCCGCUUCCAACGCCACAUAGAGAAAUCCCCGCGUAUUGUAGAAAGAUCCUACUUUGCCUCACAUCAUUCCGCAAGAGAGACAUCAGUUCUGCUUUCUUUAGUAAGCUCUCAAUAAACACCGUUGAUUGAUUU